CGCUCCUGCCUGCUGUGGGUGACGCCCUGCGACCGGCCCGGCGCCUGUCUCGUCUACGACAACUGGUGGAUGAGCAGAUACCUGUUGGGCGCCACGCUUUGUUGGAAAUUUGCUUCAUUCGUCUUCUAUAACUUGGCUUGGAUACUGUACAAGCCUCCCGAAGGAAGUGAAGAGUACCCGGUGGUUAAGCUGGAUGGUGAGGGCAGGCCGACCGUAGAGGCGCUUGGUAACGGAGACGCAGUGGCGCCACCCAGCGGCGGCCUCGAGAACCCAGCCUUCGAGCCGUAGUGGAGGGCGCUGCGAGCGCCAUGGUGCCGAACCGUGAUGGUGGCUUCCGGUCGGGCCGCUGAGCAGCUGAGUAAUGUUCUGUGCGGCGGGACAAUGCUGCUGGACACGCUUCUGCCGUCCGCCGCUGAGGCUUGUGGCCCCUGCGGUGACCUUGAGCGAAUUCCGUUGUGUUGUAAAAGAGUUCCAGGACAUCAGCAAUAUUCCAGCAUUCCGGGGUAUCAUAACACAGUGUUUUAGAUGAGGCAGCUCAUUUGUGACUCUAUACCAAGGCGAUGAAAACGAAAAGUGUAUUGCUGCGGAGCGUUUGUGAUGUUCUUACCAAUGUUGUCCGCUCGCUUCGGCGAUCAAACGGCGUUGACCGUCUUUAUCUCGGGGACAGUGCGAGU